UAGCAGGGACCUUUAAAGGUCAUCUAAUCCAACACCCCUGCAAUGAGAAGCAACUAGAUCAGAGCCCCAUCCAAUCCUACUUCAAAUGUUUCCAGGGAUGGGGCAUCCUCCAUUUCUCUUGUUGUUGGCACCCUCAUAAUAAAAAAUUUCUUUCCUCAUAUCUUAUACGAGUUUACACUCUUUUAGUUAAAAACCAUUACUCCUUGUCCUAUUGUUACAGGCACUAUUAAAAAGUUUCCCCCCUCUUAUUAAGUCCCCCUCAUUGCUUGAAAGGCUGCAGUAAGGCUUCUCCUGCAUCUUCUCCAGGCUAAACAACCCCAACUCUUUCAGUGCAGCCUGAAGUGCCAAGAUCUUGAUAUUUUCACUUCCAAAAGAACUUUGGUAUUUCCUGCAAUUGCGAGUUGUCCCUUUUCAUAAGAGCACUGGAAAACAUGCAAUAGAGAGAUUUUAUCCCUAUUUUCUUGAUAAUCCAAGCACCUAAAAUGACUCUAAACUGAUAUGCCCAGCCAGCUCCUAGGAUUCCCAAAUUUGUUUAGAUCUGUAAGACAAAGAGUUUUCCAUAUGGCACCUUUAACUGAAUCUUCCCCUGGUUCUUCUGACUCUGACAUACCAAUUGUAGUAUUGACAAUUUUACCACACCCUAAGAAUUUAGGAAAUUCUUUGGAACUAAGCCUACAUUCUUACCUUUUUUUUUUUUUUUGGUCUCUUUGCUAGUUUUACCUCAAGUAUUGUCAUAUUUAAUACUGUUCAAAACUUCGUAUUUCAUUUUAGCAUUUAACAGAGAGCAGACAUGAUGCAUUAAUCAUAAAAGCAGUAGAGUUUUUCACUGUGGCUUUUCUAAAUUACCUUCUGGUGUUUCCAUUUGUCCAUUUGGGUAAUUCUAAUAUCAGUUUCUACUUGCCUCUUUUCUUUAUAGGAAUACAAACUGAUAUUCAAUAAUUUUUUUUUAAAUAUUUUACCUUCUAUUGUUCAAAGUCAGUUGCUUAUUUGCCAGCAUAAGAAAAUAUUAAGGAGAAUGGUGCUGAUUCAUCAUUACUUGAUAAAUGUAAUGAUAAAUUACAUCAUUAAUUUAUCAUUACAUUUAUCAAGUAAUGUUGAUAAAUGUUUUUCAUCAUAAUAUAAAAAUUGUAAAUUAGAUAACUACUGCUAAAUUGCAAACAUUCAUCUAACCAAAGAGAUCCAAUAAAUAUCAAACAGGAGCAGAUACUCCUUCAUAGUACAAGAUUGUUUCAACACUUCUAGUGAAGCAUCCUAGGGUCUAUUGUCCAAGAACAGGCACUUACAGUGACCACACAGCAGGUGUAGAAAUGGCUAAAGUACCAAUCAGAGGAAGGGAUUCUAAAAAAAACCCAUUUUUAAGCAAGUGCUAUGUCCCCAACAGUGCAUUUUAAACAUAAUAGUCCAAGACAAAUACUCAACAUGUAAAAGGAACAGGAGCAUAAAGUCUGGAGUAGAGGGCCCUAAAAUAAAUAAAGGCAGAGCCCCUGAAGUGCCAGCAGGUACCUGUGAAUUAGGCAGUCCCACGGCCAAAUCUUCCAGCAGCAGACAGAGAUGAGAGGAGAGGAGCAAGGCAUCUCAGUCUCUGCAGGUCAGCUUCUGAGCUCCAGCACAGGGCAGGGCAUCAGCAAGGGUCAUAGGGUGCUAUUCUUAUCUAGAUAGCUGUAAAAGCUAAGACAGAUCAGCUAGCCAGUCUUGAUGUAAUCUAAAUCAGCAAAUCUUCAAGUGGAUAAUAUUAUGAAACAUAAUUACAAAACCAAUUCCCUUAGCUUUGGUGGAUGUGAGAGAUAAACCUGAUAAACCUGAGAUCAUUAAUUUUGUUGUUCUUGUGAAGGAAAUAGGACAGCAGCUAGAAAAUUGUCACAAAAUGGAAAAAUUAGCCUUUCUAUUUCUUGGUACAAAGUAGAAUUACUUUAAUGAGGGAUAUAUAUGUAUAUAAAUCAUCCUUGGAGCCAUUGUUCUUGUUUAAUGACAAGAGUCACUUAUGUCUGUAUACGAAUAAAUUUCUGGAGAUUUAGAUCAGAGUCUGGUGUAUAGAUUGAGACAUGAAAAGAGCUGAUAUUUUGAACAAUCUACUAUACAAUAGCGUCCUUUCCCUUCCAAAAGCACCACCUCCACUAGACACUGUUCAACUGAGCUCUGACCUGAAUGAAGAGAGUGCAGUUACAUGACACAGCUGAUGGUAACAAACUGGCCAUGGUCACAGCCCCUUCCCUUGGAGCUGGCUACAAGUGACACUGGAGGCACAGGGUAAAGGCCCAUGGGAAUGCCCUCAGGAGUGUGUGCAGUCAGAGGCUGUCAGGCCCUCUUCGUGCAGAAGUAGGGAAAGAAAAGUUGCAAAAGAUGUCAAGGGUGCGCCAGAGAAGUCUCUUUUGGGAUGAGAGUGUACUUUCAGCAAGAAUGCUGUCAAAACCAAAAUUGUAACCUCAAGCAAAGAAGGAAACUAAUUUUUGUGUGUGUGCUUUCAUUCUCUGGAGUUCAAGAAAGAAAGACUUUUACAUCAUCUAUAAGUAGGUCUGUAUUAAGGCAUCUAGCUUCUACUUCCCCCUCCCCAUGUUUGUUCUUUCCUGUCUUCUGUGUGCUGUAGUUGCAGGAUAGAGAUGUUUCCAAAGAGAAUCAGAUGUGUUGUGGUGUCAUACUCUAUUGCACAGGUGAUACCUGGGACCUGGGUUUCACGGUGCAGUUUCGCAUGUAAUUAGUUUGCUGUUACUGGCAACACAGAUUUGAAAUCAGAACUAAGCCCUCUGAGAAACUCUUUCCUGCCAAUGCUCUCAUUACUUUUCCUGAAUUUCCCUCUACAUUAUUUAUAGGGCUGGACAAAAAAAGGAGAACAGUUGGAUCUAAUUUAUUUACUGCAAAUGCUCUUAGGAAGAAAAGUGUUAUUCAGCCAACUAAAAUCUUGAUUUCCUACUUUUACUGAUAAGAAAACUCACUAUCUGGUUCCAAAUUACCAUAAAUGGGACAAUGAGAAAAAAGCACUCUACAAAAUAUGCAAAUGAUAUGACAGCCAGUGCAACAAGAGAUGGGAGAAUACAAUCAAAUUUCCAUCAGCUGUAAUAAUUCUUGCAUUUGUUUUCUUGGCUUGAAAAGGAGUCCCUAACUUCAAUGAGCAGCUCAACAGCUACAUCUGAAUAAUAAAUUGGGUGGGCCUACAUCUGAAGGACUUCCUUCCUUAAAGAUGAAAAUUCAGAACAGAGAGAAUACCCUUUCUUUAACAAGCAGAUUAGGCCAAGGCAAAAAGAGCUGAAGUAAUUGUGAGGGAAUAUCUUGAUACAGUCAUUCUGUGCCAGGUGCAGCAUCAUAUUGAUGGUGCAGAAAGGCUUCCUGGGUUCCUCCUGCUGUUCAUGCUGUGCUCUCAGUUGUCCUUAUUCAGCACAGAGUCCCUGGCAAGAAAGUGGGUGUUGCAUCACUGAUGUUCCUGUGCAGCAAUAAAUUGUACCAGGGCUGGGCAGUUCUGGCUGCAGGAAUUACAGACAGUCCCCAUGGCCUACUUCCCAUCAGAGUACAGGGGUCAUGGAAUGCAAAACUGGGGCCAAAUUAUUUCACUGGUGGCUGGAACUCAGCUAUUUGCCAUGUGCAUUACAAUAGUGAGUUUACUUUUUCUAAGUGCUGAAUUACUGCCCUGGGAGAUGCACACAUGCCUUCCAGACCAGAAUUCAGAGUUUAGCCUAAUAUUAUGUUUUUUAAACACAUCUGUGAUCUAUUAUGUUGCUGGGUAAUGAUUUUCACAGAAUCCUUGUUUUUUAAUAUGCAAAGAAAUGUCACUAUCAAUAUCAGUCUCAGCAUGGUAUUGCUGAGUACUCAGAACACAUCUGAGUACUAGAUAAAUGCUUCUUGCUAUGGAAAAAAUAUUACAGGUCAUUAAAAUGUUAAAGAAUUAAGGGGGAAAGUUAUAAAAAAUGGAAAGAACAUACAUGGAAGUUUUAGGAGCUGGGACCAAAGACUUCUAGAUAGUAGUAAUUUUAGUUACAUAAUGUAUCAGAAAAGUAAGUUAAACACUGGAAAAGCAUUAUAUGCCUAAAUUAGAUAUAUACUUGGUAUAAAAAUGCCAGAAACUUGUAUUCAGUUCUGAGUCCACAGCAGUCAUUUAGUCCAUUAGGAAUCAUAAGCGCAGUGCCAGAAUCAAGCAGCAGUUUAUCCUUUCUUUAUUCCAGGAGCUGCUUAUUUUAAUCCUUUCAAGAGCCUCAGACUGUUUUUGCUUUAACAGUCUCUGAGGAAAUUUCUCGUAUCCACCAAACAAAAUAAAGGCCAGACUGAGUAAGUAACAUUGUAAUUUAAUUUCGAUGUUCCUAAACUAUACUUGACUUCAGUUUGGAGAUGGACACUUGAGCACAGGCAACUGUUCUAAAAGAGUUUUUGUUUAAAUCCUUCUACUCACUUACUGAAAGGGUACUUUGAGGUGAGAAAAAUCUUUCCAGAAUCUAAGCCUCGUCUUUGUGCUUGUUCUUGAGAUAACAGCCAAAUUUCAUUUUAAUCCCAGCAGAAAAGGAAUGAAGACUGCCUAUACCAUAUAACAUUUUCUGGUGGAUGGGAAGUAUAUUUGAAUAGAGAAUCAGAGAAUUUGCAAGGAUCGCAUGCAUCAUGUACCCAAAGGCUGUGCUCCCUGGCAAGAGAAGUAUUUCCAGCUCCCCAGAACAGAAGUGUACUGCCACUCCUGAUAAGAAAUCUGCCUUGUAGUGGUAGAGGGUUUCUGAUGCAGAAAGUGCAUCUGUAGUGUCUGCCCCAAAGGCUCUUGUCACUGCAGCCAAGACUGAGCUUUAGCAUUAAUACUGAUUUAAUACUCUAUGUUUUUACCAGCUUUUAAUUUUUAAUGUGUUUCAUCUCCACUUGCAGAUCCUGCUAGCCUUACGUGAUCCUAUGAUGAGAGAAUAAAAUCUGAAUGUAAUUGUUGUGUCAGAUGUUUCUUUGUUCCUCCUCAAACACAGUCCUGAGUUUUAGGGUCAUUUGUCAGAGAAGUGAUGUCAUGGUAACAAAAUAUAGAUUGCCUUCAGAUUUCCAGUAGAUUAUCAGAGUAACUAUGGAUCCACCACAGCUGAAGGCUGAGGCACUGACCUCGAUAAAUUACCUGUCCUAGCAGCUUUUCGUUGCUUACCAUUCUGCUCACUGUUUUGCCAUCUUCACUGGCUUCAUCAGUUUUGUGAGGUUUUCCCCCAGACUGUUUGUGUCCAGCAGUCAGAUCCAGAGUUUACUGACAACAUUAUGAAAACCCUUAAGUGUUAACAGGAGGAUGCAGUCUUGUGAAGCAUUUGUUUAUUUGCAGGAUGUAGUCUCUUGAAGUAUCUACUUCUAAGAGGGUAAUGGAGGUUUUUCCUGGGAUUAUCAAAUCCUUUAAGUCAUUGCCACAUUUCAAAUAGGAUGUACAAAGUCUGCGAAUAAGAAUCUCAAUAAUUUUAGAAUUUUGGAAGGAAUUCUGCACACAACUACAAGAUCCUACAGUUUUCCAUUGUGUUCCUAUCAGGGGGAACCUGCAAUUAUGUUGGGAUACAUCCUGUCCUGCUGAAUUUUGACAGAAAAGGCUUAAGGCAGAUACUUUAUGUAAUUGCAGUUCACUGAGUGCUUUUUAGUGCCUGACUUGGACUGAAAACAGUAUUUUGCCAUCCUACUCUGCCAAAUAGGAAACUUUACUUGAUGCCAAAGAGACCUCUUCAUUUUGCAGUUAAUAUUUUGCUGAUUCUUUACACUGCUAUUGCUACCAAUUUCAUGAUUUUUCAGGGAGCACUGUAGGCUGAACACUAAUCUUCUAAUACAUAUUAAUGUAUUAGAUCUUAAUGUAACAGGGAUGUCUAUAAUUAGUUAGCAGAAAACUAAAAUGGCAAAGAAUGCUAUUUUAUUGCUUUGAAAUAUAAAAGAAACAAAAUGGCAAUGAUACUUUUGCUAGUAUAGUGUUUUCAGAAAUGCCAACACUCCUAUGCCCCUAUGUAAGAACUGAAGGUUCCUGUACUCAUGCUAACAUCACCUGUGUUUGAAGAGAACUGCAUUCAACACAUUUCUGAUCCUACAGGUGUCACAGUAAAUUAUACAAAGAAAUGAGAAAAGCCUUUAUAAAUGCAUUUCUGCAAAAAUGAAGUCAGAAUCAACUUUAUUUAUAGAUCACACCCUUUUUUUUUGCUAAAAAUGCAUAGUCAUUACAUAUACAGUAGUCAGCAUCCAAAAGUGUACAAAGAGUAAAUUUUCAAACCCUCCCGACAGAACCACACAAAAUUCACACUUUGUUCAUUGCAUGCACAGCCCCUUAAACAUGAUACCUCCUACUAAAGCGUGCUUGAACCUCUAGCAGACAGAAUUGACUUGCUAUAAACUGUUUCUCUGUACUAAUAACCCCCAGCUACAACCACAAAUCCUAAGGCAUUCCCAUGAAGUAGCAAAGCCCUACUUCAGAAUCCUCCAUGUUCUGAGUACGGCCCAGGAAGCAAUUGCCCUGAAAGCAGAAGUUUGCUGGUGGUGUUCCCUUCCAGGCAACUUCAAGCAAAAGCCUGCUUCCUUUGUCUUGGUCAAUAAUUUAUUACUGAAUUCAGUGGAAUGAAGCAGCAUUUGUCUAAGCAAGAUGUGAAAAUUAUUUAACUUAAUUCCACACCCAGCUCCAAGACACUAAGUGUCUUGAACGGAGGUCAGUGUCUUUCAGUGCAUGUGACACUACCAUCUUACAUCUCAUCUGAGAAAGUAACGUCUCAGCUGUAACUUGAGUGUUGGUGAUACAGCCCUGACUCAGAGGUGUCUAACAGAAGCUAGGAACAUACUUGGAUAUUGGGAGAAUUUCUAAAGGUACAGGCCUGGACUAACAAGCCACUCAAACCCUUUGAUGUAGUCUUUUUUUUUUCCCCCUCAGCUACUGCUGCCAGUUAGAAAAGCUCUAAAAAACAUGGUCCUCUUGUCAGUGGUGCUUUUUGUAUCAGCCCUUCCAGCUGAUGGGCAGAGUGCAAUAGUAGAAUAAUUAUUGAGGGCUUCUUGACAGAGUACAUAUAUGUGGUCAAAAGAUCUCAGUUCAUAUUUCACUCAACCAUAAGAUUAACUCCAUGUAGUUGGUUUUGCAGAACAGGAGGGAAAAAGAGAAAGUUGUUUGAUCAAUAUAAUUUUAUAUUCUCAAAUUAUUUUUUUUUUCUUAAAAGCAUCAUUUACUUCAGGUCUUUUUACUCUGGUAAGAAGUUUGACAUAGUUCAAAAUUCCCAAUGGCAACUGAGACAUAAUCAUAAUCUUACAGACACUGAUGGGAAAUCCUGCUGCAUUGUUUCAUAGUAACUGGAAUACAAUCCACGGCUAAAUGAACAAGGAGGCCUCAUGGGUGUUACAAUGCUCCUCAGUACAAGUUACCAGUGAGAAUUUCUGAAGAAAAGCAUAUGUAAGUAAUUUAUGUUUUCUCUUUACUCCUGACCCUAGAGCAUUUAGUCAGCCUGUUGAAUACUGCCUGGGUGUUGACUGUCCCCCACUUGAGCCAGUGGAAAUUUCUGGAGCCAUCAGCUCCAAAAGACAUAGGAUGUGAACAUCCUAGGAGUAUGGCAAUCACAAGGGUUUGUCCCAAGAGUUCACAAUCUGGAAACGUUCAUGCUCCUCUCCCUGUGAAAUGAGGGAAAAUAUAACAUUCUCUCUGCUGGAAGAUUUCUUCUUAGCACCUGGGAGGGUGUUUGCAUUUUUAAGUGCUUUACAAACAUUUGCUAGUCUUCAGAGCAACCCUGCGAGGUAGGUAAGGUAUAUUCUCCCCAUCUUACAGAUGUGGAAACUGAGACACAAAGGGUCAAAUUCAACCCUGGUACAAUUCCAGUGUUUCACAUGAAUUAAAAUUCAUUCAAAAUGAACACAGUUUAAACAACUUGCCCUAGAUUACAGAACAGAUAGUGGCAAAGCAAGGAUAAGAACCCAGGAGUGCCUGACUCCUCAGCUUGUUACUGGCCACUUGGUCAUUUUUAAGCUCAUAGGCAAUGAAAAAACAGUUUAAUCUGGGCAAUUACUACAGGUAUGACUUGCUUCUGUAAGGCAUGUGGAUGGUAAUCAACUGAGUUUAGUGCAAUAAUGCUCCAUGAAUGUGCUGCCUCAGAGUUUACUUAAACAUGAAGUAAAACUUUCAUACUGUCAUUUCCUGCAGGUGCACUGUUGACAAAAACCUGACACAGUAGCUGGAUUCAGCAAAUAAAUAAUAAGCGUAACACUUGGACAACUAAGCAGAAUUACCAUUUUAGCAAAAAAAAAUGAACAUACUUCUACUUUUAACUGCUACAUUUCUACAAGUGCAGCAUGCAGAUGAAACCUUUCCCUUUGUUUCCAAAUAUAGAUUCCAGUCUUGCUAAUGAGGCUGCUCAGAGCUUCACAGAUACCCUGGAUAGUGACAUUCAAAUACACACACUGCAGAAAAAAUACUGUAUCACCACAGAAAACAGGGUAGUGAUUACAGAUGAGGUUCAUCGAUCUUACAGGAAGAUGAGCUGGAAGCUCACAGGCUACUCAGAAGUGCCCAGAAGCCAGGCUUACUGAAUAUAUGCCAGUGUAGAUUGCAGUUCUAGGCACAUGCUGAAUUCAAGGGAGGGUGUCUAUGCCACCAACUCUGGGAAGUGGCCCCAGCAACAGCCACUUCACAUCAGCACAGGUGUGUCAGUCUGAAAGUCAGUGCUGGCCAAACACAGCAAGACACCCAAGCAUUUACAGGCCACCUCCCUGUGCUCCAGUCCCCACCUUGUGCUCCCAUCCCUGUGCAGAUUCUACUCCAAAAGGCCUGAAAAGCCUUUUUGGUUUCCAACAUGAGCUGUGGAAUCCACAGUGUAGACCUUAUGGCAGGUUAUAAAAACAUUAUGACACGUACUUCUGCAAGCAAGUUAGUUUUCUAGGAUUUCCUUAUGCAUCUAGUCUGCAGGUGAGACCUCUGAACAUGCUUACACAUGUUCUUCAGUCAUGUGCUUUCACACCAGAAAGUUAUCCUGCACCCUUACAAAUCACACAAAUGCUGACUCACUUCUAGAUGAACAAAUUCAAGCACUAUAAUUAUAGAUAUCUUGUUCCAAUUUGAAUAUUUUUAUCUCAGAUUAGUUUUGUCCAUUGGACACA